CAGCCGCCGCGGUAAUACAGAGGGUGCGAGCGUUAAUCGGAUUUACUGGGCGUAAAGCGUGCGUAGGCGGCUUUUUAAGUCGGAUGUGAAAUCCCUGAGCUUAACUUAGGAAUUGCAUUCGAUACUGGGAAGCUAGAGUAUGGGAGAGGAUGGUAGAAUUCCAGGUGUAGCGGUGAAAUGCGUAGAGAUAUGGAGGAAUACCGAUGGCGAAGGCAGCCAUCUGGCCUAAUACUGACGCUGAGGUACGAAAGCAUGGGGAGCAAACAGGAUUAGAUACCCCGGUAGUCCCUGUCUCUUAUAC
rnacentral:rRNA from 1 species